rnacentral:lncRNA from 1 species
CCAUUCAUCCCCAGUGGAGAGAGUGGAGCUGGGAAGACAGUGGCAGCCAAAUAUAUCAUGGGCUACAUCUCCAAGGUGUCUGGCGGAGGCGAGAAGGUCCACACGUCAAAGAUAUCAUCCUGCAGUCCAACCCGCUGCUCGAGGCCUUCGGCAACGCCAAGACUGUGCGCAACAACAAUUCCAGCCGCUUGGCAAGUACUUUGAGAUCCAGUUCAGCCGAGGUGGGGAGCCAGAUGGGGGCAAGAUCUCCAACUUCUUGCUGGAGAA